UGCCAGCCUCCGCGGUACUACUGAUUGUUCAAGCGUUAUCCGGAUUCAUUGGGUUUAAAGGGUGCGUAGGCGGCCCUGUGUGUCAGAGGUGAAAUCCCACGGCUCAACCGUGGAAUUGCCUUUGAAACUGCAGGGCUUGAGUCCGAGAGGGGAUGGUGGAAUUCCUGGUGUAACGGUGAAAUGUGCAGAUAUCAGGAAGAACACCCGUGGCGAAGGCGGCCAUCUGGCUCGGAACUGACGCUGAGGCACGAAAGCUAGGGUAUCGAACGGGAUUAGAUA
rnacentral:rRNA from 1 species